UAGUUGUGCUGUUUAAAAAGAAAAAAAGGGAAGGCUUUCCCUGCAAUUUCUGAAGGCAUCUGUAUAUUGUUUGCAUGAAAGGCUCUGUCCUGUGGAAGCUUCUGUGUGCACUGAGGCCUGGAAAGGUGUUUCUAGUGUGGCCAGGCUGUCUCACUGAAUGUCUGCCUGCUCCCUUUUGCCAAUGUUUUUUUUGCCCACUCACCACAUCACAUCAGAAAUUUGGGCAAUGUUCUUUAUGCUGUGCAAAAUCUUAGAAAAGUGAAUUGAUUGCCCUCUGGGCACAAAGCUUUAUUUCCUUUUUGUUGUCCCUGCACAGAGUCCUGGUGAAUUCCUGGUAGCAGUUAUUUGUCUGCAUUGAAAGAGCAUGGCAAGCAAUCAGGAGGCAAACGUAGACUGGAAAUUGUAAUAGUUAAAAGGGAUGUUGUUAAGAAUUUUAGGAUUACAUACAAUGCAUAAAUGGUUGAAAUUUCCAAAGGGCUAUUCAUUUCUAGUCAAGCCUUUUCACGUGGUAUCUUCCCUCACAAAAGCAUCACAAAUUUUCUGCCCAUACUGUUCCUCCCCAUCACCCCCCACUGCUCAAUUCAAUGACAGCUUUCCUGGCAGUGCCCAAGCAGAUUUUGCAUUUUCCUGUAGGUGCAGUGUCAGCCCAGCCUCUGAGAGCUUGGCUGCUGUGGCAAACCUUUGUGCUUGAGGACAGAUGUUCCACCUGCAGAACAUCUGGGUGGGCAGCACCCACUGACUGGGAGCACCUUGGAUGCUGGGGAUCCCCUCUGAGGCAUCCACUGCUUCCCAGCCACCUCCCAGUUCCAGGCCUUAGCAUCAGCUCUAAGUAGGGUGUCACUUUUCUUUUUUUUUUUUUCUUCUUCCCUUUUUUUUUCUUUUUUGUUUUGGGACUGGGCUUGAAUUUUUCUGUUCUGUCCCUCCCACGUGGCUUUUGGGAAAUACACAGUGGUUGCGAGUUUUUUGAAUGUAGAUUUGUUUCUAAAUAAGAAGAAAAAGAUAAAAAACACAGGGCAGUAAAAAGACUUGAUGAAAAUGAAACCUCCAUAAAUUUCUUGAGCUGCUAGAAAACAUCAGAAACACACAGAAAGUCCCUAUAAAAAAGAAAAUAGUAUUUUUGUGGAUUUGUGCAGGUUAUUUCAUCUGGCUUGGGAAAAGAUAGUAGAUGUUAGGUUAGAGCAAAUUCAUCCUGAUAAAGCACGCAUAUUUUUUGACAAAUAUAUUAUCUCUUUAGAUCAUGGGAUUAAUAAGAUACAUUGUCCCCAGGAAAAUAUGUGCACUCAUGGAGAACCUUAUUGACAUUGCUGCAGAGAGGUGAGUUCAAAAGGCCAGAUAUUAAAAACAGCCUUUUGAGGCCAUGAAGACAAUUUUUUCACUUGAAACAAUAUAAGUUUGCAUUUGUAUCACUUAUGGUGGGUGACUGUACACUUAGCUAAAUUAGGUGCAUGUUUAUUUGUGUAAAGAUACUUGAAAAAUGCUGAUGUGCUCCAAAUUUGAGUUCCAAAUCCCUCUUUGUUUCUGUUGCACCUGGGAUGAGGAUCGGAGGAGGCUGUGGCUGGCAGGAGUCUCUGAAGAUCGUGGACUCCAUCCCCUGCCAAGGCAGGGUCACCUGGGCCAGGUGACUCAGGACCGUGUCCAGGUAUUGUGUGCAUUCCUGAAUAUUUGCACGUCUUCAAGCAAGAAAAUGUCACUGGGACAGCAGAGGUGUGUGAGAAGUUCACCAUUCUGCAAAGGAGAAGGUAACAGCUGUUCCUGCAUUUCUCUGGCCUCAAAUACACAUUUCAUUCUCCACUGGAACAAGAAGGGAAAGCAAUAGUACCCCUUAUAUAUUUUGUGUUUUAUAGAGAAAUUAUGAUACCACAGUAUAUUAGGUGCAUGAACAAACAAUUUUAUAUUUCUCUGUGUGUGGGGGGUUUUUUUCCUUGCUUAGGGCUUUUUUAUUAUUACUAUUUUAAAUUUUUAAUUAUUUUUUUU